UGUAUCGUCCUUGAAUUUCCGGGUCCAGUUAGAGCAGGACUGUGCGGGAUGGAAAUGCGGUGUUUGUGUAUUUUGCUGGUCUGUGUGCUGUCACUGAAUCACGCCACAGCCGACAAUGGCAGCGUUAAAAAGAUGAAAAUGCAAUACACAGGGAUGCCACUGCUGAAAUUUCAGUUUUGUGUGUCCUGAGGGUACAGGCGGGUGUUUGAGGAGUACACUCGGGUUCUCACCCAGAGGUACCCAGACAUCCGCAUCGAGGGAGAAAACUUCCUGCCACACCCCAUAUAUAGACACAUAGCUUCCUUCUUUUCUGUCUUCAAACUUGCCAUGAUUGGUUUAAUUAUCCUGGGAAAAGACCCUUUUACAUUUUUCCACAUGGAGACUCCAGGAAUCUGGAUUUGGGCGAAAGAGAAUAAGAUAUAUGCCUGCAUGAUGGUGUUCUUCCUCAGCAACAUGAUUGAAAACCAGUGUAUGUCCACCGGCGCCUUUGAAAUCACACUUAACGAUGUUCCCGUGUGGUCCAAGCUGCAGGCGGGACACCUGCCCUCCAUGCAGCAGCUGGUGCAGAUUCUGGAGAAUGAGAUGAAGCUGAGUGCACACAUGGACUCUCUGACUCACAGACGGGCGUAGAGGUGUGUGAUGCGAGGCAUUGGUGUGUGAGAGGGCAUUAAUGAAGGUUUGCACUGAACGCAGUGUGUCUGCUGGUGCAGACUGGAUGUCCAGCCUUCUCUCACUGCUCCAAGGGUCUCUCUGUAUCCACAGCCCUGCGGUCCUCGGCUAAUAAUUAUGGAGGAAAUGGAAGGUUUCAUCUGCAGAUAUUCCGUUGUCAUCGACCAAUAAACACACAUGCUGUUAAAUGGGUUUAAAAUUGGUGUUGAACAGUGUUUAUCUGUUUUGGGGGGCAUGCAGUAGACUGCUGUAUUAAUUAAAUCAGUUUUCAGAUUUGUAUUUUCAAACUCUUUGUAUUAUAUGCAGAACUACAGUUCUGUUGUUGAUUUCUCUCUCUCGAUUUCUUUACACUUUCGUCUUUCUUCAUAUGAUCUUGAGCCAAUUUAUUAAUUCCACCGUUAAUGCUAAUUUUCAAAGUAUGUUUUAGUCAACGGUAUUCGUUAAGAAAUAUAAACAGUUCUGUAAAUGUAUUCAGUAACUAAAUAUGUACAUAUCAUCAAGGAUGUACUUUGAUACAUUUUGAUUUCUGAUCAUUUUUAAUAUUCGUUUAUACUCCGUUAUGAAUAAAUUCUGUCAAUGGAUGUGUAAAUAAAUGGUGUCUUUUGUCAUAGAAAAA